CCACCACCCCCUUCCAGGCAUUCCGUCUGCCUCCUGCAGGCAGGCUGUCCCCCUCCAGCCGGGCUCCCGGGUGUGUCGCACGAAAGACGCGGAACCCGAGACCUUCCUGUUUCUCCCGUGUCGAGCCCCAGAAUUACUUGGAAUUACUGAUCAUCUGUCCUCUUGGCUCCCAGCCUGUUGGUCUGUGACGUCAGGGACGUGGUGUUAGGGGGAGCGGGCAGGGCCUGGAGCCGGGUCCCCCCCCUUACCACACUGUCCCCAUCAGAGAAUAGAGGUCCCCGCCUCCGAAGCAGCACGUCCUGCAGGAACGCGGACGGACAGACUGGGCGACCCCGCACCGAAGCCGUCUGCACCGGGAGGGACCCCAGCGCUGACCUUCCCCACCUCCCCCUCAUCGUAACAUUAAACAUCACACCCGGGGGAGGGGGGAUCUGAUGUUAGUACACGGCCCGGGACCCCGCCUCCAUCUGCUCGAUCUUCACCCCUCUCCCGCCCACCUGUCCCGGGGGAGGGGGUCCGCCUGAGCCCACCACCGGUCCGCCGCCGCCGUGGGCGCGGGCAUCAGCCCCAGCACCGCCGGCCCGACGCGAGCAGGUCCUGUGCCAGGCGAGCCCAGGGCCCUGCUAGGCAUCAGAAGCGCAUCAGAAACCGAGGGUGUGCCCGUGAUGUUGCAGAGACGGCGAGCUCAGCCCCUGCGCCGAGGUAGGCGUGCAAAUGGUUAGUAACGCGGCACCUGUCAGUCCUAACGGGCGGCCGAGCAAAUCUUCGUGGGAUCCCGGAGGGAGGCCAGCUAAUUCACCGGGCAGCAGGAACGCAGGAAUCUCUCCCUAUCUGGGAAUUCGAGUUUAUGGCCUCUUGUCUCUGACAAGUUUUCUUGGCUCAUGGACAGCUUCGCUGGAAAUUGUUUUCGGUAGCAUAGCCUGAAGCCAAGCCAAGCUUGGCCCCCAACUUCCCAGAGGAGCCCGUGGGGCUUGUGACACUGAAGGUGGAGAAGGAUGGACAUAUUUGGAAACGAGAAUUCAACGUGGGGAGGAAGAAUCUUAUUCAGGCCGUUUUGCUGUCCAGAGACCCUUGGACCCCUUGCUCUGAGUCUCACCAGCUCCGCGAGCUGUGCCGCCAGUGGCUGCGGCCCUAGACGCGCAGCAAGGAGCAGAUCCUGGAGCCGCUGGUGCUGCAGCAGUUCCUGACCAUCCUGCCCACGGAGCUCCAGGCCCGGGCGCGGGAGCAGCACCCGGAGAGCGGGGAGCAGCACCCGGAGAGCGGGGAGCAGGCGGUGCCGCGCUGGAGGACCUGGACAGGCAGCUGGACUGCAUGAGGCCAGCCAACAGACAAAGCCGCCGCCUCGUUUCACCCCCGACGGCACAAGUUCUGGUGUUAGAACCUGCGCAAGCCCCCCACAGCCGUGAAAAUAAAGAUCCUGGGCCCACCGCACAGCUCUGCGUGGAGUCCAUGGUCCUGUCGUCCCUGUGAGCCUUCUUGGUGUCCCUUUGGCCAGACCCCGGGCUCCGCCGGCCUGGGGACAGAGAAGCAUGGGGAGACCUCGCCACCUUCUGGCACGUGGGGACCACGUGCACUCCCCACCUGCUGUGCGUCUGUGACGCCGCUGUCGUGUCUCCCUCACACACAGCCGAUCUGCAAGCCCCUCUGCAUCCUCCUCUGUGCCCCCGCGGCCCCUGUGAUGUUACAGUCACACGUCCACUCGGCUCUCUUCCUCUCUAGGUUCACGUCCUUGAAGAAGGAAUCAUGUCUUGCAUUCAUCUUCAUAUUAUCAGCGUUGAGCAUUAAGACCCAGAAAAAAGUACCGAUGCGUGUUCGUGUUUCCUGCCGUGCAUCUAACUCUGGUCCUGAGGUUUACUGCCUCUCUCCCCCUCCCCGCCUGGCAGGGGGGCCACAGAUCCCUGGCUAGCUCCUAUUUUCCGGGCGAUUCCCCUCAGCUCCUGCACCCCAGCUCUCCGCACCCUGAGCAGACACCCCCUUAGACGCCUGUUCUAAAUCUUUGGAAACUUAUUCUAAACUGCUUCUUUGAAAUCUCACUCUUCCCAGCUCAACUAUAGUUUCACUCAGUACUAACUUAUUAAAAUAAAACUUCCCCACCCACAGGGAGGCUCAGUCUAGCUGUAGACUCGGAGUUGCCUAAGGAGCAAAAUGCAGUUACGUACACUCUUUACAGUACUGUGUGCAGACAUUGGAAAGACAAAUAUGGGACAGUACUUGAAGUCAUCUUAUAUGAUGAAAAUCUCCAAGAGGGCAGAAGCCUGGGCCCUUAGUUUUUACCCCAAAUGACCUUUGUUUUGAACACCUUUUGUUCUGUGUAAUCUGAUAUGACUACUUCAUAACUAGUUAUUUUCAAUAGGAUAUGAUAUGUUUUAGCUAAAUAUGAAGCUGUAGGUCUGAAACUACACCUCUUUUAAAAAGCAUAAUCAUUAACAUCUAAAGUAUCAAAGCAAAAGAAAAAGCAUUUUAAAUAUCAGAACUGAAAAGCAUGUGACCAAAGAAUGAAAAUCCUUAAACUAAGUAUAUCUAAUUUUGUGGGAACUCA